rnacentral:rRNA from 1 species
AAUAUUGUACAAUGGGCGAAAGCCUGAUCCAGCCAUGCUGCGUGUGUGAAGAAGCUCUUCGUAUUGUAAAUCUCUUUAAGUGCGCAGGAAGGUCAGUAAGUUAAUACGUUACUGUUUUGACGUUACCGACAGAAUAAGCUACUGCUAACUUCGUUCCAGCACGCGCGGUAAUACGAAGGGUGAAAGCGUUAAUCGGAAUUACGGGGUGUAAAGAGCGCGUAGGUGGUUUGUCAAGUUGGAAGUGACAGCCCCGGGCUCAACCUGGGGAUUGACUUCAAAACUGACGAGCUAGAGUACGGUAGAGGGUAGUGGAAUUUCCUGUGUAGCGGUGAAAUGCGUAGAUAUAGGAAGGAACAUCAGUGGCGAAGGCGACUACCUGGACUGAUACUGACACUGAGGUGCGAAAGCGUGGGGAGCAAACAGG